CAUCAUUCAGUUGGGCACUCUAGCAAGACUGCCGGUGACAAACCGGAGGAAGGUGGGGAUGACGUCAAAUCAUCAUGCCCCUUAUGACCUGGGCUACACACGUGCUACAAUGGGAAGUACAACGAGUUGCGAAGUCGCGAGGCUAAGCUAAUCUCUUAAAGCUUCUCUCAGUUCGGAUUGCAGGCUGCAACUCGCCUGCAUGAAGCCGGAAUCGCUAGUAAUCGCGGAUCAGCACGCCGCGGUGAAUACGUUCCCGGGCCUUGUACACACCGCCCGUCACACCACGAGAGUUUGUAACACCCGAAGUCGGUGAGGUAACCUUUUUGGAGCCAGCCGCCUAAGGUGGGAUAGAUGAUUGGGGUGAAGUCGUAACAAGGUAGCCGUAUCGGAAGGUGCGGCUGGAUCACCUCCUUU
rnacentral:rRNA from 1 species